GCAUAUUUCAACGCCCUCUGUCACAUGUCUAUUGUACUUCAUCAGGUGCUCUGGUAUACUUUUUCCCGACACCUGUUGGAGUGCACUAAUUAUGUGGCUCGUUUCACCAAACUGAUUUU
rnacentral:pre_miRNA from 15 species